rnacentral:rRNA from 1 species
UCAGGCCUAACACAUGCAAGUCGAACGAUAUAGUGGCAGACGGGUGAGUAACGCGUGGAAACGUGCCUUUCACUACGGAAUAGCUUUUGGAAACGAAAGGUAAUACCGUAUACGCCCUCCGGGGGAAAGAUUUAUCGGUGAAAGAUCGGUCCGCGUUAGAUUAGCUAGUUGGUGAGGUAAAGGCUCACCAAGGCGACGAUCUAUAGCUGGUCUGAGAGGAUGAUCAGCCACACUGGGACUGAGACACGGCCCAGACUCCUACGGGAGGCAGCAGUGGGGAAUAUUGCACAAUGGGCGCAAGCCUGAUGCAGCCAUGCCGCGUGAAUGAUGAAGGCCUUAGGGUUGUAAAAUUCUUUCGCCAGGGAUGAUAAUGACAGUACCUGGUAAAGAAGCCCCGGCUAACUUCGUGCCAGCAGCCGCGGUAAUACGAAGGGGGCUAGUGUUGUUCGGAAUUACUGGGCGUAAAGCGCACGUAGGCGGACUUUUAAGUCAGAUGUGAAAUCCCGAGGCUCAACCUCGGAACUGCAUUUGAAACUGGGAGUCUAGAGAUCAGGAGAGGUUAGCGGAAUACCGAGUGUAGAGGUGAAAUUCGUAGAUAUUCGGUGGAACACCAGUGGCGAAGGCGGCUAACUGGACUGAUACUGACGCUGAGGUGCGAAAGUGUGGGGAGCAAACAGGAUUAGAUACCCUGGUAGUCCAC